rnacentral:lncRNA from 1 species
AGUUCCUGGUGGCAAGAAAUGUGGGCAAGUCAUCUUCUCUCACAGAGUUUCAGAGAGAGAGUCAUCUCACCCUGGAGUACAGAGGAGGAGGAAGGAGUAUGUCUGAGCUCAGAAGUUCCUUUGAAAAAGAGGGCACAUUUGUCUACAAACCAAAUGGCUUCAAUGUAGGGGAUGGUGUUUCCCAUUUCUGCUCACAAGAAUGAGAACUGGAGGCUGAUGGGAAGGAGAGACCCCUAUGAAUAGGAGAAGGGUCUGGGACUGAAGCUGGAGAUCAUUAUUUCUUUAUAACCAAAUAUCUCAGGAGUGCCUGGUAAAAGAAUUAAAAAUAUGAAGGAAAUAGAUAUUUUUUCCAUUUCUGACUAACUCUCAAAAAACCCCCAACAAACCUUAGAAGAGAAAUUAUGUGCCAGAUGUGGAACAAUCACAGUAAAUGCCACAGGACUGAAAAUAAAGAGAAAGCCAACAAAAUAGAAGCCUAAUGA